UACGUAAGGGGCAAGCGUUGUUCGGAAUUAUUGGGCGUAAAGGGCGCGCAGGCGGUUUGCCAAGCCUGAUGUGAAAGACCUCGGCUUAACUGAGGCAGUGCGUUGGGAACUGGCAGGCUAGAGUAUAGGAGGGGGAGUUGGAAUUCCUGGUGUAGGGGUGAAAUCUGUAGAUAUCAGGAAGAACACCGGUGGCGAAGGCGAACUCCUGGCCAUAUACUGACGCUGAGGCGCGAAAGCGUGGGGAG
rnacentral:rRNA from 1 species